GAUGAAGAACGCAGCGAAAUGCGAUAAGUAGUGUGAAUUGCAGAAUUCAGUGAAUCAUCGAAUCUUUGAACGCACAUUGCGCCCCCUGGUAUUCCGGGGGGCAUGCCUGUCCGAGCGUCAUUGCUGCCCUCAAGCACGGCUUGUGUGUUGGGCCCCGUCCUCCGAUCCCGGGGGACGGGCCCGAAAGGCAGCGGCGGCACCGCGUCCGGUCCUCGAGCGUAUGGGGCUUUGUCACCCGCUCUGUAGGCCCGGCCGGCGCUUGCCGAUCAACCCAAAUUUUUAUCCAGGUUGACCUUGGAUCAGGUAGGGAUACCCGCUGAACUUAAGCAUAUCAAUAAGCGGAGG
rnacentral:misc_RNA from 1 species